GCGAGAGUGGCGGAACUGGCAUACGCGCUGGACUUAGAAUCCAGUAGCCGCAAGGCUUUAGGGGUUCGAAUCCCCUCUCUCGCACCA
rnacentral:tRNA from 1 species